GCUGAAAUGAAACACCAGUUCUAGUACGAUCACCGAAGUGAAGCAACGUCGCAUCCGUCCAGUACCUAGAUAGGUGACUGUUUAGGAAUAUCAUGUGCUGUAAG